rnacentral:rRNA from 1 species
AUGGUUGUUUACUAUGUUGUUUGCUUCUUUCCGAUGUUGCUUCUUCGGGUUAGUUCCGAUAACGUCGCGUUUGUGAGGAUCCAUUCGACUACGUCUGUUUGUCUUCUUCAUGGACUCGUUCUUCUUCCUUGCAGGAUAUCAGGCAAGAUGACCAUACCCUUGAAAUCACUUCUAUCUUUGCUUGCUAGAUGCUCGCUCUUUUGCUAUGCCUAUGCUGCGAUACCUACCACAUGCUUUAUCAUGCCUCCCAUAUUGCCAUGUCAAGCCUCUAAGCCACCUUGUCCUAGCAAACCGUUGUUUGGCUAUGUUACCACUUUGCUCAGCCCCUCUUAUAGCGUUGUUAGUUGCAGGUGA